GGACGUCCAGGAGUCGGAGCUCCCGCCUA
rnacentral:sRNA from 1 species